GAUGAACGCUGGCGGCGUGCCUAAUACAUGCAAGUCGAGCGAACGGACGAGAAGCUUGUUGCGCUGAUGUUAGCGGCGCACGGGUGAGUAACGCGUGGAUCACCUACCUAUAUUUCUGGGAUAACUUCGGGAAACCGGAUCUAAUACCAGAUGAUAUGUUCAACCGCUUGGUGCAAGAGUGAAAGGCGGUCUUGGUGGGACAUGUAGACGCGUCCACGUGGCAUUAGCUAGUUGGUAGGGUAAAGGCAUACCAAGGCAACGAUGCGUAGCCGAGCUGAGAGGGUGAUCGGCCAAACUGGAACUGAGACACGGUCCAGACUCCUACGGGAGGCAGCAGUGGGGAAUUGUCGGAAAUGGGCGAAAGCCUGAAGGAGCAACGCCGCGUGGGUGAUGAAGGUCUUCGGGUCGUAAAGCUCUGUUGUUAGGGAAGAAAAGAUGUAGACGUAACUGUGCAUGUCGUGACGGUACCUAAUCAAGAAGCGACGGCUAACUACGUG
rnacentral:rRNA from 1 species